GUAAACACUCGACUUCUUGGUUUUCCUUGCCUACCUUUGCAUUGACAGGAAUCAAAGUGUAAAUUCGAUCCCGCCAUCUACUGACCGUACACACAUCACAACCCACGUUCUCUUAACUCAGUUGGAUUGUUUCUUCUUCAAACGGGCGGACUAAUCGGCAAUUUCAUCAUGAAGGUUGUCAUUCUCUCCUGUCUUGUAGCUGCAGUUCUUGGGGUGGACUACGACGAAGCUAAAGCAGGUUUUGACGCUCUCGACCUAGACGGUGAUGGGAUUGUACUGCAAGAGGAAAUACUGACUUUCAUCGAACAAAACGACCUAAACAACGACGGAAACAUAACCAUUGAAGAGAAAACAGCUACUGAGCUACCCGG